UGCACUGCUCCCAGGCAGGAAGAACAAUGAAGACAUCCAUUCACACUUUAUUCCUAUGCUUGGGUCUGUGGAUGGACUGGGAGAGCUGUGGAGAGCAGGUGGAGCAGCAGCCUUCCACCCUGAAUAUUGGAGAGGGAGACAGCGCCAUCAUCAACUGCAGUUACACAAGCAGUGGUUCCUCAUACUUCCCGUGGUACAAGCAAGAAGCUGGAAGGAGUCCCCACCUUGUGAUAGAUAUUCUUGAAAAUGUAGACAGAAAGCAAAAGCAAAGACUUACCGUUUUAUUGGACAAGAAAGCCAAACAAUUCUCCCUGCACAUCACUGUCACACAGCCUGGAGACUCAGCCACCUACUUCUGUGCAGCAGGCACACAGUGGUUCCCAGGCACCUGUAGCCUGUUCUCAAACUUGCUCUGGGGCUUGAGCCCUUUCCACAACCUGGGUCUUGUAGUAAAGCAUUUGUUACAUUGCUUGUUUGUAAUGGAGGCUAACAUGCAGAUAUUCAUGGCAUAG